rnacentral:rRNA from 1 species
CAGAGUUGAUCCUGGCUCAGGAUGAACGCUAGCUACAGGCUUAACACAUGCAAGUCGAGGGGAAACGACAUCGAAAGCUUGCUUUUGAUGGGCGUCGACCGGCGCACGGGUGAGUAACGCGUAUCCAACCUGCCCACCACUUGGGGAUAACCUUGCGAAAGUAAGACUAAUACCCAAUGACGUCUCUAGAAGACAUCUGAAAGAGAUUAAAGAUUUAUCGGUGAUGGAUGGGGAUGCGUCUGAUUAGCUUGUUGGCGGGGUAACGGCCGCCAAGGCUACGAUCAGUAGGGGUUCUGAGAGGAAGGUCCCCCANAUUGGAACUGAGACACGGUCCAAACUCCUACGGGAGGCA